AAAGGGAUUAAGUUUUCCCUUUCUCGCCGAAAACCCUAUUCGCCCUUUCUUUCUCUUGCGACGGCGCGCGACGGUCUCGGGCGGAAACGCAGCAAGGUUAGGGUUCUUCCUCCGGCGGCCGGCGAGGGGUUUUUUCCGAGAAUCCUUCUCAUCCUCGUGAUCUCCCCGACGUGGAGAGCCCGUGGACGCGUAGAAGGUGCUGUGAUUUCGAGUCUCGCCGAAUCCUAGCAACCCUUUUCUUCGGUUGUAAGUCCAAGAACGCUCGAUAAAGGAAAGGAAAAGAUUUAGCAAGGAAGGCGACAAGGUGGUGGUGAUGAAGGUGUGUGAUGACUGGACUAUGGAGAGAUCCAGAGUUUGCUAGCAUAUGUUCAGGAUUUACCUGUUUAGAGUCUCAGUUUAUGUUCUAGUUCUCUUUAAAUGUUAUUAUGAGUUGAGAUUGUAAUUAAGUUUAUUCCGCACUUGUAGUUGGGUCCUAUUGUUGGAGUGAUAUAGUUGUUUGCUAUUGUUAGAGUAGUUCCUUCUUUUUA